rnacentral:rRNA from 1 species
UUGGUGGGCGAACCCACCAGGAAACAAGAAGUACGCUAAAGACACGCGUGAAUAUUUCAGCAAGGCCGUAACCCCAAAGGAUUCCCAGCCCCGCUCCCAUGGGUAUACAAUUUCCGUAGGAUUGUCCUUGCGGAGGGAUCAUUA